ensembl:lncRNA
AUGUCAACUGUAGAGCCUCAAGAGGUGCUGAAUGAUUCAUACUGUAAAGUGUUGUUCAUGGCUUUGUCCCAGGCCUGUAGGAUGGACGGUGAAGAAAACUCAUCUUCCUGGACAUUGAUCAUGAAAAAGAUUGUAUUACAGAGGUUAAAGUUCAGCGUGUCAAUGUUAGAAAAUAAACCACAUGUUGUGUACCGUUUCAGAUUUUAUUUCAACAGUCAACAUACAUCUACUGCUUAUCAGCUUCAUCCAAAUGUCCACAUUGUCUGUUGUAAAACGAGCUACAUUCUGACACAGCAACAACAACCCCAUAACACACCUACCAUCUCUCACACACGUCCACACACUGUGGGAGCUGAACAGCCGCAUGUCUCAGGUCAGGGUUCAGGUCUGGGUCAGGACCACUGGUCUCAGGUCAGGACCACUGAUCUCAGGUCAGGGUUCAGGCCAGGGAUGGGACCACUGACCUCACGACAAGGUUCAGGUCUGGGAUGGGACCACUGGUCUCAGGUCAGGGUUCAGGUCUGGGUCAGGACCACUGGUCUCAGGUCAGGACCACUGAUCUCAGGUCAGGGUUCAGGCCUGGGUCAGGACCACUGGUCUCAGGUCAGGACCACUGAUCUCAGGUCAGGGUUCAGGCCAGGGAUGGGACCACUGACCUCACGACAAGGUUCAGGUCUGGGAUGGGACCACUGGUCUCAGGUCAGGGUUCAGGUCUGGGUCAGGACCACUGGUCUCAGGUCAGGGAUGGGACCUCUGACCUCAGGACAAGGUUCAGGUCUGGGAUGGGACCACUGGUCUCAGGUCAGGGUUCAGGUCUGGGUCAGGACCACUGGUCUCAGGCCAGGGAUGGGACCACUGACCUCAGGUCAGGGUUCAGGUCAGGGAUGGGACCACUGGUCUCAGGACAGGGUUCAGGUCAGAACUUAUUCAAAGCCUUUACCACAGGUAUCAGUCAUUACAUCAUUAUAUCAUUCCUUUACCACAGGUAUCAGUCAUUAUAUCAUUCCUUUACCACAGGUAUCAGUCAUUAUAUCAUUCCUUUACCACAGGUAUCAGUCAUUAUAUCAUUCCUUUACCACAGGUAUCAGUCAUUAUAUCAUUACAUCAUUCCUUUACCACAGGUAUCAGACAAAACCCACAACCACACCGUUCGUUAAUAAUAUAUCAUAUAGCGCUUUAAUCCAAAGUGAUUUACAGUCAUGCGUGCGUACAUUUUACGUCUGGGCUGCCCCGGGAAUCGAACCUACAACCCUGGGGUACAAGCACCAUGCUCUACCAACUGAGCUGUUCGGGAACUGUUCGGGAGCUGUUCGGGAGCUGUUCGGGAGCUGUUCGGGAGCUGUUCGGGAACUGUUCGGGAGCUGUUCGGGAACUGUUCGGGAACUGUUCGGUAGCUGUUCGGGAACUGUUCGGUAGCUGUUCGGGAACUGUUCGGGAGCUGUUCGGGAACUGUUCGGUAGCUGUUCGGGAACUGUUCGGGAGCUGUUCGGGAACUGUUCGGGAACUGUUCAAAUAAGACCUGAGAUUUGAAUUGUCAAUCAGAAGAAGACAGAGGAACAGGAGAAGCCUCUAAUUUGGAUGUGUGAGGUAUUGGAUGAUUUGACACAGGGCUAUCAAGGAUCUCUGAUCGCGUUCUUCAUAACGCUUCAUAAAGACUUCUUAAGGCUUCAUAAAGACUUCAUAAGGCUUCAUAGAGGCUUCAUAAGGCUUCAUAGAGACUUCUUAAGGCUUCAUAAAGACUUCACAAGGCUUCAUAAAGACUUCUUAAGGCUUCAUAAAGACUUCACAAGGCUUCAUAGAGGCUUCAUAAGGCUUCAUAAAGACUUCUUAAGGCUUCAUAAAGACUUCACAAGGCUUCAUAAAGACUCCUUAAGGCUUCAUAAAGACUCCUUAAGGCUUCAUAAAGACUCCUUAAGGCUUCAUAAAUACUUCUUAAGGCUUCAUAAAGACUCCUUAAGGCUUCAUAAAGACUCCUUAAGGCUUCAUAAAGACUAUAAAGACUUCUUAAGGCUUCAUAAAGACUCCUUAAGGCUUCAUAGAGACUCCUUAAGGCUUCAUAAAGACUUCUUAAGGCUUCAUAAAGACUUCAUAAGGCUUCAUAGAGACUUCAUAAGGCUUCAUAAAGACUUUAUAAGGCUUCAUAAAAGCUCCAUGAAUCCAACGUCAGGCAGACAUCUACUGCUCCUUGACGACGAUCAUCAACAUUCAGAAAUAAAUGAAAACGAUGAACACUCAUCCAAACAAAAGACUCAGUUUGUCUCAGUCCUCUCAGAGUUCACCUCAUCAUCACAUUCAUCAUCGUCACACAGCUGCUUUCUGCUUCCAGGUCAAAGUUCAACUACAUUAAUGCCAACUGUCGCGACACAAGUACACAUAGAGCCGCUUAAAUCAACUCAAGGUUCAAGUCCCUAGUGGGAUAAUAAGAUGGGUCCAUAACAAGUCUUUCCCCUCAACAUGGGUCUGAUCUGAGGAGGUUAUACUCCCUAGAACGGACGUCUCCAUUCAAAUCAAUGAUUCCGUAAGGGGCGGACUGGA